CGCUUAGGCGUGUGACUGCGUACCUUUUGUAUAAUGGGUCAGCGACUUAUAUUCUGUAGCAAGGUUAACCGAAUAGGGGAGCCGAAGGGAAACCGAGUCUUAACUGGGCGUUAAGUUGCAGGGUAUAGACCCGAAACCCGGUGAUCUAGCCAUGGGCAGGUUGAAGGUUGGGUAACACUAACUGGAGGACCGAACCGACUAAUGUUGAAAAAUUAGCGGAUGACUUGUGGCUGGGGGUGAAAGGCCAAUCAAACCGGGAGAUAGCUGGUUCUCCCCGAAAGCUAUUUAGGUAGCGCCUCGUGAAUUCAUCUCCGGGGGUAGAGCACUGUUUCGGCAAGGGGGUCAUCCCGACUUACCAACCCGAUGCAAACUGCGAAUACCGGAGAAUGUUAUCACGGGAGACACACGGCGGGUGCUAACGUCCGUCGUGAAGAGGGAAACAACCCAGACCGCCAGCUAAGGUCCCAAAGUCAUGGUUAAGUGGGAAACGAUGUGGGAAGGCCCAGACAGCCAGGAUGUUGGCUUAGAAGCAGCCAUCAUUUAAAGAAAGCGUAAUAGCUCACUGGUCGAGUCGGCCUGCGCGGAAGAUGUAACGGGGCUAAACCAUGCACCGAAGCUGCGGCAGCGACGCUUAUGCGUUGUUGGGUAGGGGAGCGUUCUGUAAGCCUGCGAAGGUGUGCUGUGAGGCAUGCUGGAGGUAUCAGAAGUGCGAAUGCUGACAUAAGUAACGAUAAAGCGGGUGAAAAGCCCGCUCGCCGGAAGACCAAGGGUUCCUGUCCAACGUUAAUCGGGGCAGGGUGAGUCGACCCCUAAGGCGAGGCCGAAAGGCGUAGUCGAUGGGAAACAGGUUAAUAUUCCUGUACUUGGUGUUACUGCGAAGGGGGGACGGAGAAGGCUAUGUUGGCCGGGCGACGGUUGUCCCGGUUUAAGCGUGUAGGCUGGUUUUCCAGGCAAAUCCGGAAAAUCAAGGCUGAGGCGUGAUGACGAGGCACUACGGUGCUGAAGCAACAAAUGCCCUGCUUCCAGGAAAAGCCUCUAAGCAUCAGGUAACAUCAAAUCGUACCCCAAACCGACACAGGUGGUCAGGUAGAGAAUACCAAGGCGCUUGAGAGAACUCGGGUGAAGGAACUAGGCAAAAUGGUGCCGUAACUUCGGGAGAAGGCACGCUGAUAUGUAGGUGAAGUCCCUCGCGGAUGGAGCUGAAAUCAGUCGAAGAUACCAGCUGGCUGCAACUGUUUAUUAAAAACACAGCACUGUGCAAACACGAAAGUGGACGUAUACGGUGUGACGCCUGCCCGGUGCCGGAAGGUUAAUUGAUGGGGUUAGCGCAAGCGAAGCUCUUGAUCGAAGCCCCGGUAAACGGCGGCCGUAACUAUAACGGUCCUAAGGUAGCGAAAUUCCUUGUCGGGUAAGUUCCGACCUGCACGAAUGGCGUAAUGAUGGCCAGGCUGUCUCCACCCGAGACUCAGUGAAAUUGAACUCGCUGUGAAGAUGCAGUGUACCCGCGGCAAGACGGAAAGACCCCGUGAACCUUUACUAUAGCUUGACACUGAACAUUGAGCCUUGAUGUGUAGGAUAGGUGGGAGGCUUUGAAGUGUGGACGCCAGUCUGCAUGGAGCCGACCUUGAAAUACCACCCUUUAAUGUUUGAUGUUCUAACGUUGACCCGUAAUCCGGGUUGCGGACAGUGUCUGGUGGGUAGUUUGACUGGGGCGGUCUCCUCCUAAAGAGUAACGGAGGAGCACGAAGGUUGGCUAAUCCUGGUCGGACAUCAGGAGGUUAGUGCAAUGGCAUAAGCCAGCUUGACUGCGAGCGUGACGGCGCGAGCAGGUGCGAAAGCAGGUCAUAGUGAUCCGGUGGUUCUGAAUGGAAGGGCCAUCGCUCAACGGAUAAAAGGUACUCCGGGGAUAACAGGCUGAUACCGCCCAAGAGUUCAUAUCGACGGCGGUGUUUGGCACCUCGAUGUCGGCUCAUCACAUCCUGGGGCUGAAGUAGGUCCCAAGGGUAUGGCUGUUCGCCAUUUAAAGUGGUACGCGAGCUGGGUUUAGAACGUCGUGAGACAGUUCGGUCCCUAUCUGCCGUGGGCGCUGGAGAACUGAGGGGGGCUGCUCCUAGUACGAGAGGACCGGAGUGGACGCAUCACUGGUGUUCGGGUUGUCAUGCCAAUGGCACUGCCCGGUAGCUAAAUGCGGAAGAGAUAAGUGCUGAAAGCAUCUAAGCACGAAACUUGCCCCGAGAUGAGUUCUCCCUGACUCCUUGAGAGUCCUGAAGGAACGUUGAAGACGACGACGUUGAUAGGCCGGGUGUGUAAGCGCAGCGAUGCGUUGAGCUAACCGGUACUAAUGAACCGUGAGGCUUAACCUU
rnacentral:rRNA from 1 species